rfam:Dipodomys ordii contig_81732, whole genome shotgun sequence.
GGGAAUGUGGCUUAGUAGUAGAGUGCUUGCCUAGCAUGCAUGAAGCCCUGAGUUCAAUUCCUCAGUACCACCU